rnacentral:rRNA from 1 species
GCGGAGGAAAAGAAACCAACAGGGAUUGCCCUAGUAACGGCGAGUGAAGCGGCAACAGCUCAAAUUUGAAAUCUGGCUCUCGGGCCCGAGUUGUAAUUUGUAGAGGAUACUUUUGAUGCGGUGCCUUCCGAGUUCCCUGGAACGGGACGCCAUAGAGGGUGAGAGCCCCGUCUGGUUGGAUGCCAAAUCUCUGUAAAGUUCCUUCAACGAGUCGAGUAGUUUGGGAAUGCUGCUCUAAAUGGGAGGUAUAUGUCUUCUAAAGCUAAAUACCGGCCAGAGACCGAUAGCGCACAAGUAGAGUGAUCGAAAGAUGAAAAGCACUUUGAAAAGAGAGUUAAAAAGUACGUGAAAUUGUUGAAAGGGAAGCGUUUAUGACCAGACUUGGGCUUGGUUAAUCAUCUGGGGUUCUCCCCAGUGCACUUUUCCAGUCCAGGCCAGCAUCAGUUUUCCCCGGGGGAUAAAGGCGGCGGGAAUGUGGCUCUCUUCGGGGAGUGUUAUAGCCCACCGUGUAAUACCCUGGGGGGGACUGAGGUUCGCGCAUCUGCAAGGAUGCUGGCGUAAUGGUCAUCAACGACCCGUCUUGAAACACGGACCAAGGAGUCGUCUUCGUAUGCGAGUGUUCGGGUGUCAAACCCCUACGCGUAAUGAAAGUGAACGCAGGUGAGAGCUUCGGCGCAUCAUCGACCGAUCCUGAUGUUCUCGGAUGGAUUUGAGUAAGAGCAUACGGGGCCGGACCCGAAAGAAGGUGAACUAUGCCUGUAUAGGGUGAAGCCAGAGGAAACUCUGGUGGAGGCUCGCAGCGGUUCUGACGUGCAAAUCGAUCGUCAAAUAUGGGCAUGGGGGCGAAAGACUAAUCGA